UACGUAGGGUGCGAGCGUUGUCCGGAAUUAUUGGGCGUAAAGAGCUCGUAGGCGGUGUGUCGCGUCGGUCGUGAAAACUUUCAGCUUAACUGGGAGCGUGCGGUCGAUACGGGCAUCACUGGAGUUCGGCAGGGGAGACUGGAAUUCCUGGUGUAGCGGUGAAAUGCGUAGAUAUCAGGAGGAACACCUGUGGUGUAGACAGCUUACUGGACCACUUCUGACGCUGAGACACGAAAGCGUGGGUAGCAAACAGG
rnacentral:rRNA from 1 species